GAAAUGCGAUAAGUAAUGUGAAUUGCAGAAUUCAGUGAAUCAUCGGAUCUUUGAACGCACCUUGCGCUCCUUGGUAUUCCUUGGAGCACGCCUGUUUGAGUAUCAUGAAAUCUUCAAAGUAAAUCUUUUGUUAACUCAAUUGGUUUCUACUUUGGUAUUGGAGGUCUUUGCAGCUUCACACCUGCUCCUCUUUGUUCAUUAGCUGGAUCUCAGUGUUAUGCUUGGUUCCACUCGGCGUGAUAAGUUAUCUAUCGCUGAGGACACUGUAAAAGGUGGCCAAGGUAAAUGCAGAUGAACCGCUUCUAAUAGUCCAUUGACUUGGACAAUACUUUUAUGAUCUGAUCUCAAAUCAGGUAGGACUACCCGCUGAACUUAAGC
rnacentral:misc_RNA from 1 species